rnacentral:rRNA from 1 species
UACGGAGGUGGCAAGCGUUGCUCGGAAUCACUGGGCGUAAAGGGCGCGUAGGCGGGGAGGUAAGUCGGGUGUGAAAUCUCCGGGCUUAACCCGGAAAGGUCAGCCGAUACUGCGGGGCUAGAGUGCAGAAGGGGCAACUGGAAUUCUCGGUGUAGCGGUGAAAUGCGUAGAUAUCGAGAGGAACACCUGCGGCGAAGGCGGGUUGCUGGGCUGACACUGACGCUGAAGCGCGAAAGCUAGGGGAGCGAACGGG